rnacentral:rRNA from 1 species
GACGAACGCUGGCGGCGUGCUUAACACAUGCAAGUCGACAUGCGUGGCGAACGGGUGAGUACUACGUGGGUAACCUGCCCUCCUUUUUGGGAUAAGCCUUGGAAACGGGGUCUACUACCUCAUAAAGGGGGAUGGCGUCGCGGCCUAUCAGCUUGUUGGUGGGGUGAUGGCCUACCAAGUCGGUGACGGGUAGCCGGCCUGAGAGGGUGACGGGGCACGUGAGGGAUGCGAGACGUCUCAGACUGCUACUGGAGGGAGCAGUGUGGGAAAGGGCACAAUGGGGGAAAGGCUAAUCCGGCGGCGCCGUGUGGGGGAUGGAGGCGUACGGGUUGUAAACCUCGUUCGAAAGCGAACGGGUAGGUGGAGAAGAAGCGACGGCUAACUACGUGCCAGCAGCCGCGGUAAUAC